CUCUUUCUAUGUAAUCUUUUGUUAGGGAUAUUUUGUGUGCGGGAGAUUUUGGGUUGGUAGUACGGAGCGUAGGGUGGCAAUGGAGUGAUUCCCGCGUUCGAAAAGGUUCCGAGACGUUAGAUAAAAACGAACAGGUUUGAACAAGAUUGAGAGAGAGUCGAACAUGAGAGUUGGUGCGUGGCAGAGGUAAAAAGACGGGUAUCGCGAGAAAAGACGGACAAAACGGGUGUGUUUUGAGAAGUAUAAACGCUGAACUGAAUUACAUUGUUAUUUUGUUUGAAGUUUCAAUAAAGUUGUUGAUUAGUUAAAUUUA